GGAUGGGUGGCCGAGUGGCUUAAGGCACCGGUCUUGAAAACCGGCGUGGGUUCACGCCCACCGGGGGUUCGAAUCCCUCCCCAUCCGCCA
rnacentral:tRNA from 1 species